GACGAACCUUGCUAACGUUAUUCGGAAUUACUGGGCUUAAAGGGUGCGUAGGCGGUGCGGAAAGUCGGGUGUGAAAUCCCCCAGCUCAACUGGGGAAUUGCGCCUGAAACUACCGUGCUCGAGGAAGGCAGAGGUACGCGGAACUUAGGGUGGAGCGGUGAAAUGCGUUGAUAGCCGAAGGAACAACGGUGGCGAAAGCGGCGUACGGGGUCUUAUCUGACGCUGAGGCACGAAAGCGAGGGUAGCGAACGGG
rnacentral:rRNA from 1 species